rnacentral:misc_RNA from 1 species
CCAAACUUGGUCAUUUAGAGGAAGUAAAAGUCGUAACAAGGUUUCCGUAGGUGAACCUGCGGAAGGAUCAUUAUUGAACAAAAAAUUGGGUUGGGUUGUUGCUGGCUUCUUGGAGCAAAGUGCACACCUAAUCCAUAUUUCUUCAACCGCCCCCUGUGCACCUGUGUAGAACUUAGAAACAACUUUCCAAGUAAAUUUUUAAACUUGCUUGAGUUUGAGAAAUUGCUGUGUCGAUCAAAACCAGCUUUUCUUGUGUUUCUAGGUCUAUGUGUUUUUUUUUUAUACACACACCAAUAGAAUGUAUCAGAAUAAUUGUCAAUUGGGAGCCCUUUGGUGCUCUUUAAAUUAAAUACAACUUUCAACAACGGAUCUCUUGGCUCUCGCAUCGAUGAAGAACGCAGC